UGGCUUAGUGGUAGAGUGCUUGCCUUGCAUGCAUGAGGCCCUGGGUUCGAUUCCUCG
rnacentral:tRNA from 1 species